rnacentral:rRNA from 1 species
UACGGGGAGGCAGCAGUGGGGAAUAUUGCACAAUGGGCGCAAGCCUGAUGCAGCCAUGCCGCGUGUAUGAAGAAGGCCUUCGGGUUGUAAAGUACUUUCAGCGGGGAGGAAGGCGAUGCGGUUAAUAACCGCGUCGAUUGACGUUACCCGCAGAAGAAGCACCGGCUAACUCCGUGCCAGCAGCCGCGGUAAUACGGAGGGUGCAAGCGUUAAUCGGAAUUACUGGGCGUAAAGCGCACGCAGGCGGUCUGUUAAGUCAGAUGUGAAAUCCCCGGGCUUAACCUGGGAACUGCAUUUGAACUGGCAGGCUUGAGUCUUGUAGAGGGGGUAGAAUUCCAGGUGUAGCGGUGAAAUGCGUAGAGAUCUGGAGGAAUCCGGUGGCGAAGGCGGCCCCUGGGACAAGACUGACGCUCAGGUGCGAAAGCGUGGGGAGCGAAACAGGGAUUAGAUACC